UACGUAGGGGGCAAGCGUUGUCCGGAAUCAUUGGGCGUAAAGAGCGUGUAGGCGGCUCGGUAAGUCCGCUGUGAAAGUCCAGGGCUCAACCCUGGAAUGCCGGUGGAAACUGUCGAGCUAGAGUCCGGAAGAGGAGAGUGGAAUUCCUGGUGUAGCGGUGAAAUGCGCAGAUAUCAGGAAGAACACCCGUGGCUAAGGCGGGUCUCUGGGCCGAUACUGACGCUGAGGAGCGAAAGCGUGGGGAGCGAACAGG
rnacentral:rRNA from 1 species